AAAUCUCACAAACUAAUAAUUUGUGGAUUUGGAUUUGCGAUAAUCUAGUAUUAUUGCUAAUCUGAAAUGAAUUUCAUGAAGCUAAAUAUGCUUUGAUCUUUUGCUUAAUAGUUUUGCUUUGCAAAUCUUUUGCUCUGAUCAAUUAGCAACAAAAGUGAAUUGAUUUUACGAAAUUUUAAAAUCUCAUU
rnacentral:misc_RNA from 1 species